GACGAACGCUGGCGGCGUGCCUAAUACAUGCAAGUAGAACGCUGAAGGAGGAGCUUGCUUCUCUGGAUGAGUUGCGAACGGGUGAGUAACGCGUAGGUAACCUGCCUGGUAGCGGGGGAUAACUAUUGGAAACGAUAGCUAAUGCCGCAUAAGAGUAGAUGUUGCAUGACAUUUGCUUAAAAGGUGCAAUUGCAUCACUACCAGAUGGACCUGCGUUGUAUUAGCUAGUUGGUGGGGUAACGGCUCACCAAGGCGACGAUACAUAGCCGACCUGAGAGGGUGAUCGGCCACACUGGGACUGAGACACGGCCCAGACUCCUACGGGAGGCAGCAGUAGGGAAUCUUCGGCAAUGGACGGAAGUCUGACCGAGCAACGCCGCGUGAGUGAAGAAGGUUUUCGGAUCGUAAAGCUCUGGUGUAAGAGAAGAACGAGUGUGAGAGUGGAAAGUUCACACUGUGACGGUUUCUACC
rnacentral:rRNA from 1 species